rnacentral:rRNA from 1 species
ACCUGAAACCGUGUACGUACAAGCAGUGGGAGCCUCUUAAUGGGGUGACUGCGUACCUUUUGUAUAAUGGGUCAGCGACUUAUAUUCUGUAGCAAGGUUAACCGAAUAGGGGAGCCGAAGGGAAACCGAGUCUUAACUGGGCGUUAAGUUGCAGGGUAUAGACCCGAAACCCGGUGAUCUAGCCAUGGGCAGGUUGAAGGUUGGGUAACACUAACUGGAGGACCGAACCGACUAAUGUUGAAAAAUUAGCGGAUGACUUGUGGCUGGGGGUGAAAGGCCAAUCAAACCGGGAGAUAGCUGGUUCUCCCCGAAAGCUAUUUAGGUAGCGCCUCGUGAAUUCAUCUCCGGGGGUAGAGCACUGUUUCGGCAAGGGGGUCAUCCCGACUUACCAACCCGAUGCAAACUGCGAAUACCGGAGAAUGUUAUCACGGGAGACACACGGCGGGUGCUAACGUCCGUCGUGAAGAGGGAAACAACCCAGACCGCCAGCUAAGGUCCCAAAGUCAUGGUUAAGUGGGAAACGAUGUGGGAAGGCCCAGACAGCCAGGAUGUUGGCUUAGAAGCAGCCAUCAUUUAAAGAAAGCGUAAUAGCUCACUGGUCGAGUCGGCCUGCGCGGAAGAUGUAACGGGGCUAAACCAUGCACCGAAGCUGCGGCAGCGACACUAUGUGUUGUUGGGUAGGGGAGCGUUCUGUAAGCCUGUGAAGGUGGCCUGUGAGGGUUGCUGGAGGUAUCAGAAGUGCGAAUGCUGACAUAAGUAACGAUAAAGCGGGUGAAAAGCCCGCUCGCCGGAAGACCAAGGGUUCCUGUCCAACGUUAAUCGGGGCAGGGUGAGUCGACCCCUAAGGCGAGGCCGAAAGGCGUAGUCGAUGGGAAACAGGUUAAUAUUCCUGUACUUGGUGUUACUGCGAAGGGGGGACGGAGAAGGCUAUGUUGGCCGGGCGACGGUUGUCCCGGUUUAAGCGUGUAGGCUGGUUUUCCAGGCAAAUCCGGAAAAUCAAGGCUGAGGCGUGAUGACGAGGCACUACGGUGCUGAAGCGACAAAUGCCCUGCUUCCAGGAAAAGCCUCUAAGCAUCAGGUAACAUCAAAUCGUACCCCAAACCGACACAGGUGGUCAGGUAGAGAAUACCAAGGCGCUUGAGAGAACUCGGGUGAAGGAACUAGGCAAAAUGGUGCCGUAACUUCGGGAGAAGGCACGCUGAUAUGUAGGUGAAGCGACUUGCUCGUGGAGCUGAAAUCAGUCGAAGAUACCAGCUGGCUGCAACUGUUUAUUAAAAACACAGCACUGUGCAAACACGAAAGUGGACGUAUACGGUGUGACGCCUGCCCGGUGCCGGAAGGUUAAUUGAUGGGGUUAGCGGUAACGCGAAGCUCUUGAUCGAAGCCCCGGUAAACGGCGGCCGUAACUAUAACGGUCCUAAGGUAGCGAAAUUCCUUGUCGGGUAAGUUCCGACCUGCACGAAUGGCGUAAUGAUGGCCAGGCUGUCUCCACCCGAGACUCAGUGAAAUUGAACUCGCUGUGAAGAUGCAGUGUACCCGCGGCAAGACGGAAAGACCCCGUGAACCUUUACUAUAGCUUGACACUGAACAUUGAGCCUUGAUGUGUAGGAUAGGUGGGAGGCUUUGAAGUGUGGACGCCAGUCUGCAUGGAGCCGACCUUGAAAUACCACCCUUUAAUGUUUGAUGUUCUAACGUGGGCCCCUUACCGGGGUUGCGGACAGUGUCUGGUGGGUAGUUUGACUGGGGCGGUCUCCUCCUAAAGAGUAACGGAGGAGCACGAAGGUUGGCUAAUCCUGGUCGGACAUCAGGAGGUUAGUGCAAUGGCAUAAGCCAGCUUGACUGCGAGCGUGACGGCGCGAGCAGGUGCGAAAGCAGGUCAUAGUGAUCCGGUGGUUCUGAAUGGAAGGGCCAUCGCUCAACGGAUAAAAGGUACUCCGGGGAUAACAGGCUGAUACCGCCCAAGAGUUCAUAUCGACGGCGGUGUUUGGCACCUCGAUGUCGGCUCAUCACAUCCUGGGGCUGAAGUAGGUCCCAAGGGUAUGGCUGUUCGCCAUUUAAAGUGGUACGCGAGCUGGGUUUAGAACGUCGUGAGACAGUUCGGUCCCUAUCUGCCGUGGGCGCUGGAGAACUGAGGGGGGCUGCUCCUAGUACGAGAGGACCGGAGUGGACGCAUCACUGGUGUUCGGGUUGUCAUGCCAAUGGCACUGCCCGGUAGCUAAAUGCGGAAGAGAUAAGUGCUGAAA